ensembl:rRNA 5S_rRNA 5S ribosomal RNA
GUCAACAGCCACACCACCCUGAACAUGCCAGAUCUCAUCUGAUCUCAGAAGGUAAGCAGGGCUGGAGACUGCUUAGUACUUGGGUGGGAGAAUGUCUUCAAUGAAGUGGCAGUAAUUAUUAAUU